rnacentral:rRNA from 1 species
AGUGAACGCUGGCGGUAGGCCUAACACAUGCAAGUCGAACGGCAGCACAGGAGAGCUUGCUCUCUGGGUGGCGAGUGGCGGACGGGUGAGGAAUACAUCGGAAUCUACUCUGUCGUGGGGGAUAACGUAGGGAAACUUACGCUAAUACCGCAUACGACCUACGGGUGAAAGCAGGGGACCUUCGGGCCUUGCGCGAUUGAAUGAGCCGAUGUCGGAUUAGCUAGUUGGCGGGGUAAAGGCCCACCAAGGCGACGAUCCGUAGCUGGUCUGCGAGGAUGGUCAGCCACACUGGAACUGAGACACGGUCCAGACUCCUACGGGAGGCAGCAGUGGGGAAUAUUGGAGAAUGGGCGCAAGCCUAAUCCAGCCAUACCGCGUGGGUGAAGAAGGCCUUCGGGUUGUAAAGCCCUUUUGUUGGGAAAGAAAUCCAGCUGGCUAAUACCCGGUUGGGAUGACGGUACCCAAAGAAUACGCACCGGCUAACUUCGUGCCAGCCGCCGCCGUAA